AUUGAACGCUGGCGGCAGGCCUAACACAUGCAAGUCGAACGAGUGGCGGACGGGUGAGUAAUGUCUGGGAAACUGCCCGAUGGAGGGGGAUAACUACUGGAAAUGGUAGCUAAUACCGCAUACCAUCGGAUGUGCCCAGAUGGGAUUAGCUAGUAGGUGGUGUAACGGCCCACCUAGGCGACGAUCCCUAGCGGGUCUGAGAGGAUGACAAGCCACACUGGAACUGGAAAACGGCCCGAACUCCUAGGGGAGGCAGCGGGGGGAAAUAUUGCACAAUGGGCGCAGGCCUGAGGCAGCCAGGCGGGGUGAAUGAAGAGGGCCUUCGGGUGGUAAGGUACUUUCAGCGGGAAGACGUUACUCGCAGAGGAAGCACCGGCUAACUCCGUGCCAGCGGCCGCGGUAAUC
rnacentral:rRNA from 1 species